UACAGAGGUGGCAAGCGUUGUUCGGAAUUACUGGGCGUAAAGGGCGCGUAUGCGGCCUUCUAAGUCAGACGUGAAAUCCCCCCGGCUUAACCUGGGAACUGCGUCUGAUACUGGGAGGCUUGAGUAUGGGAGAGGGAUGUAGAAUUCCAGGUGUAGCGGUGAAAUGCGUAGAUAUCUGGAGGAAUACCGGUGGCGAAGGCGCAUCCUGGACCAUUACUGACGCUGAGGCGCGAAAGCUAGGGGAGCAAACGGG
rnacentral:rRNA from 1 species